AUUAGGAAUCUUGCACAAUGGGGGAAACCCUGAUGCAGCGACGUCGCGUGGAGGAUGGAAUCUUUCGGGAUGUAAACUCCUUUUUCCGGGGAAGAAGGCCCGCAAGGGCUUGACGGUACCCGGUGAAUAAGCCCCGGCUAACUACGUGCCAGCAGCCGCGGUAAUACGUAGGGGGCGAGCGUUGUCCGAAGUUACUGGGCGUAAAGGGCGCGUAGGCGGGUCUUUAAGUGUGGGGUGAAAUCCCGAGGCUCAACCUCGGGACUGCCCUGCAAACUGGGGGCCUUGAGUGUCGGAGGGGCGAGUGGAAUGGUCGGUGUAGCGGUGAAAUGCGUAGAUAUCGAUCGGAACACCCAUGGCGAAGGCAGCUCGCUGGCCGACAACUGACGCUGAGGCGCGAAAGCGUGGGGAGCAAACAG
rnacentral:rRNA from 1 species